CAGCGUUUGCAAGAAAAAUAUAUGGUACGCUUUUGCACCUUGUUCUUUUUGUCUUCCUCUCUCUAGACGUAAACGAGCGUAAACACGCAACACACGUGUACAGCAUGUGUACGUGCCGCUUGUUUGGAGCAACAGAAAUGGUGUGUUGUAUGCAUGUGCACGCCAGUACAUGCGCAAGAGGUCAGAACCUUAGAGAGAACUGUCAAAAGCAAUAAACGAUGGUACGAUACAAUGUAGAACGUUGUCGAGUAUGUGAUCGUCAUCAUUUACUCCUUGAGAAGUAAUGAUUUUAUCGAUGAUUAAUAAAUUCUGAACGACAUGGAAUUCUGGAUGACCGAGAAUUUCAUCUUUCAUCAUUCAAGAUCAAGUUAAGAGUGUAUACCUG
rnacentral:lncRNA from 1 species